rnacentral:misc_RNA from 1 species
GCCUCUCUGGCUCUCUCGUCUCCGUUGUCUACUCUGUAAAAAAAGGAUGCUUUGUAAGCUCCGUUCCCUUUCUAAACCCUUCAUUUAAUGGCUUAAUUCUCAACCAUAUCUCUCCAAAGCACGCACAAAAGCAUAGCUCUGUAGAUAAAAAGAGAAAAGGAUUCACAAUCUCGCGAAGCAUCUAAAAUCCUCAAAACGCGCUAAACCCACAUCGCGAGUUCAGCGCCCAGGAGGUGAAAACGAGUCGAAGAAGAUGGAAAGCAGCGCUGCUAUAGACAACAUCAACAACAAUAGUAAUAGCAACAGCAGUACACGCCUACCUCUGUCGGAGGUUGUGUCGGAUUGCGUGAAGAGGUGGUUCAAAGACACCCUCAAAGAAGCCAAGGCUGGGGAUAUUAAUAUGCAGGUUUUGGUAGGUCAAAUGUAUUAUAGCGGAUAUGGAGUCCCUAGAGAUGCCCAAAAGGGAAGAAUUUGGAUGACAAGGGCAUCAAGGACUCGGUCUUCAGUUUGGAAAGUCAGUGAUAAGCAUCCAGGUUAUAAUGCAAGUGAUUCAGACUCGGAUGAAUUGAAGGGUGAUUCUUAAAAAGACCAAAUUAGUUUCAAGACCAAAACAUUAAAAUGUGAGCUGGCAUUUAUCUUUUUCUUGGACUUUUAAUGCUUAAUUUGCUUUUUUGGGGGCG